rnacentral:misc_RNA from 1 species
GUGAGUCAUCGAAUCUUUGAACGCACAUUGCGCCCCUUGGUAUUCCAUGGGGCAUGCCUGUUCGAGCGUCAUUUGUACCUUCAAGCUCUGCUUGGUGUUGGGUGUUUUGUCUCGCCUCCGCGCGCAGACUCGCCUUAAAACAAUUGGCAGCCGGCGUAUUGAUUUCGGAGCGCAGUACAUCUCGCGCUUUGCACUCAUAACGACGACGUCCAAAAGUACAUUUUUACACUCUUGACCUCGGAUCAGGUAGGGAUACCCGCUGAACUUAAGCAUAUCAAUAAGCGGAGGA